CUCCCAUAGUUCACAUACUUCUUCAGCCACUCAGGACAAACCUGGGUCAGGUAGUUCUUCCACUGAGCGAUCGAAGCUUUGUUAUCGUCCCACUUGAGUUUGGUGAUGACAGCCUGUGGUUUUGGAGCGAUCCACGUCUCUGUCUUCAGGUCAAAUGCCACAAAGUCUUCUCCAUCAUAACCAAUCUG